UACGUAGGGGGCAAGCGUUGUCCGGCUUCAUUGGGCGUAAAGAGCGUGUCGGCGGCCAGGUAGGUCGGUUGUGAAAACUGGAGGCUCAACCUUCAGAGGUCGACCGAAACCAUCUGGCUAGAGUCCGGGAGAGGAGAGUGGAAUUCCUGGUGUAGCGGUGAAAUGCGCAGAUAUCGGGAAGAACACCCGUGGCUAAGGCGGCUCUCUAGUACGGUACUGACGCUGAGACGCGAAAGCGUGGGGAGCGAACAGG
rnacentral:rRNA from 1 species